AGUGAACGCUGGCGGUAGGCCUAACACAUGCAAGUCGAACGGCAGCACAGUAAGAGCUUGCUCUUACGGGUGGCGAGUGGCGGACGUGUGAGGAAUACAUCGGAAUCUACUUUUUCGUGGGGGAUAACGUAGGGAAACUUACGCUAAUACCGCAUACGACCUACGGGUGAAAGCAGGGGAUCUUCGGACCUUGCGCGAUUGAAUGAGCCGAUGUCGGAUUAGCUAGUUGGCGGGGUAAAGGCCCACCAAGGCGACGAUCCGUAGCUGGUCUGAGAGGAUGAUCAGCCACACUGGAACUGAGACACGGUCCAGACUCCUACGGGAGGCAGCAGUGGGGAAUAUUGGACAAUGGGCGCAAGCCUGAUCCAGCCAUACCGCGUGGGUGAAGAAGGAGUUCGGGUUGUAAAGCCCUUUUGUUGGGAAAGAAAAGCAGCAGGUUAAUACCCCGCUGUUAUGACGGUACCCAAAGAAUAAGCACCGGCUAACUUCGUG
rnacentral:rRNA from 1 species